UUUGCAGAGAAUCGUAUAAGCUCAAUAUUGUUGCUAGAGAUUGUUUUGGUCAUUCUAAACACAAAAAGCUGGAGACCAUUUGAUAAACUCUACCUAACUUGUCUGGGGCAGCAGGCAGCACUACUACUACUCCACUCUACUACUACUCUCACUCACAAAAGACAGACCAGAUUGAAAGAAAGUCAGAGUCUCUCUAAAAAAGAAAGCCCAAGCCAAGCCAAACAAAAUAUAUAAGAACACAAAAAGAACAAAACUGAAUCCGUGAAAAAGUAAUAAGCAAUUUCUAUACACCAUAUAUAGCAUUAUCAUCUUGUACUUAUAUAAUGUCUAUGUCCUAUAUCUAUGUGUAGACGAUGUCUUCUCUGUUGAGAACCAAAUCAACCAGUACCAAAGUCCACCUCCACUACUCCACUAGCCAGCGCUAAAACAAAAGAAAAACCAAAGCAAAAAACUGAAUAAAAAAAAACAAAACAAUUCCCCAAAAACCAAACCGUGAAAGGGAAUCGAGAGCAUGAGAUGAGAAAUGAUGUGGAGACAACAUUUCUCGCGCGUCGUCGUGUGAAACCAUCUUCUGAUCUAUACACAAAAAUUUAACUAAUUUACUUUGAUUUGCUUUCUCUUAUUCAAAAAAAAAAAAA
rnacentral:sRNA from 1 species